rnacentral:tRNA from 1 species
CCCUCCUUAGUUUAGUGGCUAAAACGUCCGGCUGUAACCCGGAAGAUCCCUGGUUCGAGUCCGGGAGGGGGGA